rnacentral:tRNA from 1 species
ACCUUGCCCUACUUUGAGUGUAGUGCUUCUUUGGUCUUUAAACACACGAACACAUUGAGGAAUAAAAGGUGGAAGCAAGAAGAAUUAAUUCUUGAGCCUUGGCUGAAUCACCCCCACGAGCACGUGGAGUGAGGAAGAGAAAGAGCAGAAGUGGACAGUGUGGUGAACAUCACUCCAGUGAGAGCCACGCCAAGGAGGAGAGAAUUCCAUGGAGCAGAGUGUGGAGCGAUCUGGGAAGUGGCUGAGCUUUCUCUCUGGAGCAAAACAUGAAGAUGAAGUGGAAGAAAAAAUGUGGCAGAGAAGGAAAAGGUGCUAGAGCCCCAGCACCACUAGAAAGGGAGAAAUGGGGCUCUGGGUGGGGGUUGUGUGGAGGAGGCAAGAGGCUGCCUAUUGCAAUGGAAUGCCAUUUAGUGCGGAAGAGAGCUGUGUUUGAAUUUCUAUCCUAUCAAAUACUGGUUUUGUAUUCUUCUAGUUGUUGUUAUUUGAAAUUCUUUUUUUUUUUUUUUUUUUUUUUUUAGUAAUCUCUACACCCAGCUUGGGGCUUGAACUCACCACCCUGAGAUCAAGAGUCACAUGGUCUUCUGACUGAGCCAGCCAGGUGCCUCUGGUUUUGUGUUUUAGAGUGAAUCUCCCAGAAUCGACACUCAUGGACAUGGAGGAGGAGGAGUGUAGCAGUCUUCACCUGCUUCUUGCAGGGCAUCCCCCAAGAAAGGCCUCUGGCUUUGUGUGGUACCAGGAUGUCCACCAGCAAGUUCCGACCAAAGCCUUCCAGAUUCAAGUGCCCCGGAGAAUGUGGCGGCUCUCACAAAAGUCUCUACGAAAUCUCAUUGUCAUUUGGACUCCAGCGGGGCCACACAGUCAUGUCCUAAUCUCUUGCCUGGGACGCAGAAUGCUCCAGUGGGCGAGGCCAGGCCACAUACCCAUCUUGGCUAAGGAGGGUCGUGGAGGGACAGUUCUUUCUGUACACGGGCUAAGACUGCAGAACAGAGAUAAAUUCCCCAGAAAUGUGUAUUGUUCAAUCAAGACAUAA